rnacentral:rRNA from 1 species
GGAGGAAGGUGGGGAUGACGUCAAGUCAUCAUGGCCCUUACGACCAGGGCUACACACGUGCUACAAUGGCGCAUACAAAGAGAAGCGACCUCGCGAGAGCAAGCGGACCUCAUAAAGUGCGUCGUAGUCCGGAUUGGAGUCUGCAACUCGACUCCAUGAAGUCGGAAUCGCUAGUAAUCGUGGAUCAGAAUGCCACGGUGAAUACGUUCCCGGGCCUUGUACACACCGCCCGUCACACCAUGGGAGUGGSUUGCAAAAGAAGUAGGUAGCUUAACCUUCGGGAGGGCGCUUACCACUUUGUGAUUCAUGACUGGGGUGAAGUCGUAACAAGGUAACCGUAGGGGAACCUGCGGUUGGAUCACCUCCUUA